AAAAACUCCAAGAGAGCUGCAAAGAUCAAAGAUUUCAUAGAAAAUUCAUCUUUUGCAAAAACUUUUCUCCUCAUUCUAGCUCUCCUUGGUACUUGCAUGGUCAUUGGUGAUGGGAUCUUGACUCCUUGUAUUUCGGUUUUAUCAGCCGUGGAUGGAGUAAGGAAAAUUGAUGCAAGGCUAAGUAAAGAUGUGGUGGUGUGGAUAUCAGUAGCAAUUCUGAUAGUUCUUUUCUCCAUUCAACGAUUUGGAACCGAGAAAGUUGGAUAUGCAUUUGCACCAGCUAUCUUAAUUUGGUAUUUAUGUAUUGGGAUCAUUGGUUUGUUCAAUUUGAUCAAACAUGAUAUAAUGGUGCUUAAAGCUUUUAACCCUUUUCAUAUAAUUCAAUAAUUCAAUCAAGACCCAGAAGAGGCUUGGAUUUCUCUUGGAGGCAUUAUCCUUUGCAUGACUGGAACGGAAGCUAUGUUUGCCGAUUUAUGAUAUUUUUCUGUACGAUCGAUUCAGAGACUAUGUACUGGCCUAUGUUUAUAAUAGCUGUACUAGCAUCAAUCAUUGCUAGCCAAGCAAUGAUUUCUGCAAGACUAUCGAUAGCGAAACAGGCUAUGGCUAUGGGUUGCUUCCCUAGAGUUCGAGUAGUUCAUACUUCGGAAAUACAUGAAGGCCCAAUACACAUUCCUGAAAUCAAUUUUUUCCUGAUGUUCCUUGUGUGUUGGUUGUCAUUUGCUUCAAGGAAACUUCUAUGAUCGGGAACGCUUAUGGUAAGCCUAUUUAUAUCCUGGUGUUGUUUUUGCAUUAGACUUCACCACCUAGUGGAUAGGAUUGCCUUGAUAUUUGCGCACUACUAAGCUACACUUAAACAGUUAAACUACAUUUUAGGGGGUCUACAUACAGGGAUUGCGGUGGUUGUAGGGGAGUUGGUAACAAGCUCAUUGUUGGUAUUAAUAAUGCUGAUGAUAUGGAAAACAAAUUUUCUCCUUAUCGUGAUCUUUGUUCUUCUUUUUGGCUCAUUCGAACUUGUUUACUUCUCUUCUGUGUUCUACAAGUUCGAUAAAAGUGGAUACUUACCUCUAUCAUUUGCUGGAGUUUUGCUUUUUGUAAUGUAUGUCUGGCAUUACGUACAAACAAAACGCCAGAACUUCGAAAUCAAGAAACAACUAUCUACUCAGUGUCUAGCAAAUCUUGUAUCUGAUUCAAGCAUCACAAGAGUCCCCGGUGUGGGCUUACUUUUUACUGAGUCAACUCAUAAUGGAGUUCCCACAAUAUUUUCUCAUUUGCUCUCAAAUCUUCGAGCUAUACACUCCGUGCUUCUUUUUGUUUCGGUAAAACAUUUGCCCGUGAAGAGGGUACCAACUAAACGAAAUUUUUUUCUUUAGAAGAGUUGGAACCAAACAGGUAAAAAUGUACAAGUGUGCAGUCAGAUAUGGGUAUAGAGAUACCGGACUUGUAAAUGAAGAAUUUGAGGACUUGCUGAUGGAGUAUCUCAAAUUGUUCAUCCAAACUGAAAAUGGGAACCAUAUGUUUGGCGAGAAGUUAGAAGAUGUCAGCAAAUCACAAAGAGAAGAAGAAGAAAAGGAAAUUGAAUUCCUGGAAGAAUCAAGAAAACGUGGGGUAACUCACAUGUUGGGUCACAGCAAAGCAAAAGCUAGUGAAGGAUCUUGCACGCUGAAGAGAGUUAUCAUAAAUAAUGUUUAUGAUUUCUUAGAAACGAAUUUCCGGCAAGGAUUUGUAGGUCUACAAAUCCCAAACAAGAAGUUGUUACAUGUCGGAAUGAUUUACGAUAUAUGAUGAUUAAAUAGGUUGGUAUGAGCUAUUGCUGUCUUCUUAGGGUCUUAAAUGGGUUGUAGAUUGGAAGAAUUGUCAAACAAGUCAUUGAGUCUUGGCAGAAGGUGAAAGGGACUUUUGAAGCUUUCAGAUCGGAUAGCUGUGUGAUUUGGGCUAGCUGCAAGUGUAGAAACAAAAAGGUGUUCAACAACAAAAACCAAAACCAAAACACUGCGAGCAUCAUAAGGGGAGUUCAUUCCUGGUUUGAGUACAGCACUCCUCAAUAUCUGCACGGGAAUAAUCAAGAUAAAGCUCCUGUCAGAAUGAAGAAUGCAUGUUCUAAAUAGAUGCCACCUGCGAUCAACUGGACUAAAAUUAAUGGGGACGCGGCGUUCCAUAACUUUGAAGCUGUCUGGGCAGUGGUUGCUAGGGACUCAAAUUGCAAAUUUAAGGAAUGACUCAUUUCUCAACCCACUGGAAGCUGAAUUGUAUUUUGCGGUGAACAAUGCCAUUUUGGAUCAUCCGACGAUGUAAUUUUAUCUUUACAAGUAAUUAGGAAAUAAAAUAAACCCCGAUAGAGCAUCAUAUCAUUUGUACAGCCUACGCUGCACUAUAAGACACUCCAAUGCCCGUGAUGUGGCGGGUUUAUCAUAGGAA